UACGUAGGGGGCAAGCGUUGUUCGGAAUUACUGGGCGUAAAGGGCUCGUAGGUGGCCAACUAAGUCAGACGUGAAAUCCCUCGGCUUAACCGGGGAACUGCGUCUGAUACUGGAUGGCUUGAGUUCGGGAGAGGGAUGCGGAAUUCCAGGUGUAGCGGUGAAAUGCGUAGAUAUCUGGAGGAACACCGGUGGCGAAGGCGGCAUCCUGGACCGACACUGACACUGAGGAGCGAAAGCCAGGGGAGCAAACGGG
rnacentral:rRNA from 1 species